UACGAGUGCCCCAAGCGUUAUCCGGAAUUAUUGGGCGUAAAGGGUGUGUAGGCGGUUGUGUGAGUCUCAUGUCAAAUUCUUCGGCUUAACCGGGGUACCGCAUGGGAUACGGCACAACUAGAGGAUGCGAGGGGUGAGUGGAACUCAUGGAGUAGGGGUGAAAUCCGUUGAUAUCAUGGGGAACACCGAAAGCGAAGGCAGCUCACUGGCGCACUCCUGACGCUGAAACACGAAAGCGUGGGUAGCGAAUGGG
rnacentral:rRNA from 1 species